rnacentral:rRNA from 1 species
AGGACGAACGCUGGCGGCGUGCUUAACACAUGCAAGUCGAGCGAGGCCCUCCCUUCGGGGAGGUGCCCUAGCGGCGAACGGGUGAGUAACACGUGGGCAACCUGCCCCUAGCACUGGGAUAACUCCGGGAAACCGGGGCUAAAACCGGAUACGACCCUCGAGGGCAUCCUUGAGGGUGGAAAAGAUUCUGGCUAGGGAUGGGCCCGCGGCCUAUCAGCUUGUUGGCGGGGUAACGGCCCACCAAGGCGACGACGGGUAG